rnacentral:rRNA from 1 species
UACGUAGGGGCCUAGCGUUGUCCGGAAUUAUUGGGCGUAAAGAGCUCGUAGGCGGUUCGGCAAGUCGGAUGUGAAAUCUCCACGCUCAACGUGGAGGGGCCAUUCGAAACUGCCGUGACUCGAGUCCGGUAGGGGAGUGUGGAAUUCCCGGUGUAGCGGUGAAAUGCGCAGAUAUCGGGAGGAACACCAGUAGCGAAAGCGGCUUCCUGGUCCAGCACCGACGUUCAGGCACGAAAGCGUGGGGAGCAAACAGG